AGAGUUUGAUAGAGGAAAGCAGAAUUUCUAGUGUAGAGGUGAAAUUCGUAGAUAUUAGAAAGAAUACCAAUUGCGAAGGCAGCUCUCUGGAUCAUUACUGACACUGAGGAACGAAAGCAUGGGUAGCGAAGAGGAUUAGAUACCCUCGUAGUCCAUGCCGUAAACGAUGUGUGUUAGACGUUGCAAAUUUAUUUUCAGUGUCGCAGCGAAAGCGAUAAACACACCGCCUGGGGAGUACGACCGCAAGGUUAAAACUCAAAUGAAUUGACGGGGACCCGCACAAGUAGUGGAGCAUGUGGUUUAAUUAGAAGAUACGCGCAGAACCUUACCAACACUUGACAUGUUCGUCGCGACUUUAAGAGAUUAAAGUUUUCGGUUCGGCCGGACGAAUCACAGGUGCUGCAUGGCUGUCGUCAGCUCGUGUCGUGAGAUGUUGGGUUAAGUCCCGCAACGAGCGCAACCCUCACUUUUAGUUGCCAUCAUUUAGUUGGGCACUCUGAAAGAACUGCCAGUGAUAAGCUGGAGGAAGGUGGGGAUGACGUCAAGUCCUCAUGGCCCUUACGUGUUGGGCUACACACGUGCUACAAUGGUAUGUACAACAGGAAGCAAAACGGAGACGUUAAGCAAAUCCUUAAAAGAUACCUCAGUUCGGAUUGCACUCUGCAACUCGAGUGCAUGAAGCUGGAAUUACUAGUAAUCGUGGAUCAGCGUGCCACGGUGAAUGCGUUCCCGGGUCUUGUACACACCGCCCGUCACACCAUGGGAGUUGGUUCUACCUUAAGGCAAGGUUUCAAACCCUUGACCACGGUAUAGUCAGCGACUGGGGUGAAGUCGUAACAAGGUAGCCGUAGGGGAACCUGCGGCUG
rnacentral:rRNA from 1 species